CUACGUGCCAGCAGCCGCGGUAAUACGUAGGUGGCGAGCGUUGUCCGGAAUCAUUGGGCGUAAAGGGAGCGCAGGCGGGCCGGUAAGUCUUACUUAAAAGUGCGGGGCUCAACCCCGUGAUGGGAGAGAAACUAUCGGUCUUGAGUACAGGAGAGGAAAGCGGAAUUCCCAGUGUAGCGGUGAAAUGCGUAGAUAUUGGGAAGAACACCAGUGGCGAAGGCGACUUUCUGGACGAAAACUGACGCUGAGGCGCGAAAGCCAGGGGAGCGAACGGGAUUAGAUACCCCGGUAGUCCUGGCCGUAAACGAUGGGUACUAGGUGUAGGAGGUAUCGACCCCUUCUGUGCCGGAGUUAACGCAAUAAGUACCCCGCCUGGGGAGUACGACCGCAAGGUUGAAACUCAAAGGAAUUGACGGGGGCCCGCACAAGCGGUGGAGUAUGUGGUUUAAUUCGACGCAACGCGAAGAACCUUACCAGGUCUUGACAUUGAUGGACAGAACUAGAGAUAG
rnacentral:rRNA from 1 species